CAGCCGGGAUAGAGCUCAGUCGGUAGAGCGGAGGAUUGAAAAUCAUCGUGCCACCAGUUCGAGCCAGGUUCCUGGCG
rnacentral:tRNA from 1 species